rnacentral:tRNA from 1 species
UCCCUGGUAGUUCAACUGGUAAAGAAUCUGCCUGGAAUGCAGGAGACCUGGGUUCAAUCCCUGGGUUGGGGAA